AUGCGUUUUGAUACCUGACCCCCAACCCUUAUUCCUCCAAAUCCCUAACUUAGUUUUUCCCCAAAUCCCUAACUUAGUUUUCCCCCCAUCCGUCUGUUGCUGGUCGUCUGUCCAAUUAUCUGUUUGUUGCAUCACCAUCGACAGUGCAUUUGCCAUCGAUCUUCGUCUCCUUCGUCGACGCUGCUCCGUCUAUUGCUGCUCGAUAGUCCUCUGCUCGUCUGACUCUUGUUUCGAAUCUUGACAAGAUCGUAAAUUAUUUGGAUCUAAUUGGAUUUGCCUUGUUAUGUUUAUAAUUUCUUGGUGGGAGUAAUAAAUUAUUUAGAUUUAUGUAGUUUAAUAGCAUAUAGGAGUUUUGCUUCCUCUUUAAAGCUAGGUUCAUGUAUACUUGGAAAUUGUGUUCGUAUUCUAGUAAUUUAUGAUUCAACAAGCCUUUGACUUUUGCAGGUUUAUUAUGUCUAUGGAUUUAUGUUGCUGGUGUUCCCGAUUCUCGUCAUUGUAACUGUCUGUGUGACAAAUGUGUGGACAUAUUUCUUGUUAAACGGUGAAAACUAUCACUGGAAGUGGACAUCAUUUUUCUUUGCUGCCUCGACAGCAGUGAGCUGUUGGUUAUCUUGGUUCUAAUUUAUUUGUAAGGAGGAUCUACAGAAACAUUAAGAGUGACUAGAACUUUGCUAAUGGAUAUUAGAAUCAGCAGCGCUUCCACAAGCAUUUUCAGUUGUCGACGCAAUAAACAUGGAGAGGUAGCUUCUUGUCAGGUAUGGGGAACCAAGCAAAGCCUCAAGAUGAAAUUGGAAGACCUGAUAUCUUUGUUUGCCUUUGAUUUUACUCGCCUGUAAUUGGAAACCCUGAUUUACAAUAUAGAAAGGUAGUUAAAAUAUUAAACAA